UACGUAGGGUCCGAGCGUUGUCCGGAAUUACUGGGCGUAAAGAGCACGUAGGUGGUUUGUCGCGUUGUUCGUGAAAACUCACAGCUCAACUGUGGGCGUGCGGGCGAUACGGGCAGACUUGAGUACUGCAGGGGAGACUGGAAUUCCUGGUGUAGCGGUGGAAUGCGCAGAGAUCAGGAGGAACACCGGUGGCGAAGGCGGGGCUCUGGGCAGGAACUGACGCUGAGGAGCGAAAGCGUGGGGAGCGAACAGG
rnacentral:rRNA from 1 species